CGCCCACUUCCCGGACUUGCAAAUCGGAAUGAGAGGUGACAGCCAGAAGGGGGUGUACUUUGAUUGACAGCUACAGCUGAGGCUGACCUAAAUGCCCUCAACCAUUUCAGGAGAUGUCUUCCUGGGACCACAGAAGGCUUAAAUUUGAACCAAUCAGCAGCCUCAAAUUUGGACCACUCCUGGAUGACUCCACCCCAUGACCUCUAAAGGGCUCUGCCCCAGAAGACUUGAGAGCUCACCAAUCCCAGCUGACUUUGCUCUCUAGCCAAUCCUGGAUAACCCUACUGGGUCAAGCCUUGACAUUCAGACCAAUUCUAGAUGACCCCGCUGCCCCGCUGCUCUAUAUAAACAGCACUCCUUCCAGCUCCUUGGGUUAGUCAGACCAGCUUCCUCUGGAUUGUGUGAGCCCCUCAUCUUUUCGUGCAGCCCAGGUCUAAAUAAAGCUUCCUCUGGUUUGUCCUGCA